rnacentral:rRNA from 1 species
AGACGAAGGAUGCAAGCGUUAUCCGGAUUCAUUGGGUUUAAAGGGAGCGUAGGCGGUCUUAUAAGUCAGUGGUGAAAUCCUAGAGCUUAACUCUAGAAUUGCCAUUGAUACUGUAGGACUUGAGUAUAGUUGCUGUGGGCGGAAUAUGACAUGUAGUGGUGAAAUACUUAGAGAUGUCAUAGAACACCGAUUGCGAAGGCAGCUCACAAAACUAUAACUGACGCUGAGGCUCGAAAGUGCGGGGAUC